UACGUAGGGUGCAAGCGUUGUCCGGAAUUAUUGGGCGUAAAGAGCGUGUAGGCGGCCCGGUAAGUCCGCUGUGAAAGUCCAGGGCUCAACCCUGGGAUGCCGGUGGAUACUGUCGGGCUCGAGUCCGGAAGAGGAGUGUGGAAUUCCUGGUGUAGCGGUGAAAUGCGCAGAUAUCAGGAGGAACACCAAUGGCGAAGGCAGCACUCUGGGACGUGACUGACGCUGAGACGCGAAAGCGUGGGGAGCAAACAGG
rnacentral:rRNA from 1 species